rnacentral:rRNA from 1 species
AGAGUUUGAUCCCUGGCUCAGGACGAACGCUGGCGGCGCGCCUAACACAUGCAAGUCGAACGAGCGAGAGAGAGCUUGCUUUCUCAAGCGAGUGGCGAACGGGUGAGUAACGCGUGAGGAACCUGCCUCAAAGAGGGGGACAACAGUUGGAAACGACUGCUAAUACCGCAUAAGCCCACAGCUCGGCAUCGAGCAGAGGGAAAAGGAGCAAUCCGCUUUGAGAUGGCCUCGCGUCCGAUUAGCUAGUUGGUGAGGUAAUGGCCCACCAAGGCGACGAUCGGUAGCCGGACUGAGAGGUUGAACGGCCACAUUGGGACUGAGACACGGCCCGGACUCCUACGGGAGGCAGCAGUGGGGAAUAUUGCACAAUGGGGGAAACCCUGAUGCAGCGACGCCGCGUGGAGGAAGAAGGUCUUCGGAUUGUAAACUCCUGUUGUUGAGGAAGAUAAUGACGGUACCCAACAAGGAAGUGACGGCUAACUACGUGCCAGCAGCCGCGGUAAAACGUAGGUCACAAGCGUUGUCCGGAAUUACUGGGUGUAAAGGGAGCGCAGGCGGGAAGACAAGUUGGAAGUGAAAUCUAUGGGCUCAACCCAUAAACUGCUUUCAAAACUGUUUUUCUUGAGUAGUGCAGAGGUAGGCGGAAUUCCCGGUGUAGCGGUGGAAUGCGUAGAUAUCGGGAGGAACACCAGUGGCGAAGGCGGCCUACUGGGCACCAACUGACGCUGAGGCUCGAAAGUGUGGGUAGCAAACAGGAUUAGAUACCCUGGUAGUCCACACCGUAAACGAUGAUUACUAGGUGUUGGAGGAUUGACCCCUUCAGUGCCGCAGUUAACACAAUAAGUAAUCCACCUGGGGAGUACGACCGCAAGGUUGAAACUCAAAGGAAUUGACGGGGGCCCGCACAAGCAGUGGAGUAUGUGGUUUAAUUCGACGCAACGCGAAGAACCUUACCAAGUCUUGACAUCCCUUGACGAUGCUGGAAACAGUAUUUCUCUUCGGAGCAAGGAGACAGGUGGUGCAUGGUUGUCGUCAGCUCGUGUCGUGAGAUGUUGGGUUAAGUCCCGCAACGAGCGCAACCCUUACUGUCAGUUACUACGCAAGAGGACUCUGGCAGGACUGCCGUUGACAAAACGGAGGAAGGUGGGGAUGACGUCAAAUCAUCAUGCCCUUUAUGACUUGGGCUACACACGUACUACAAUGGCGUUAAACAAAGAGAAGCAAGACCGCGAGGUGGAGCAAAACUCAGAAACAACGUCCCAGUUCGGACUGCAGGCUGCAACUCGCCUGCACGAAGUCGGAAUUGCUAGUAAUCGUGGAUCAGCAUGCCACGGUGAAUACGUUCCCGGGCCUGUACACACCGCCCGUCA